rnacentral:rRNA from 1 species
UACAGAGGUGGCAAGCGUUGUUCGGAAUUACUGGGCGUAAAGGGCGCGUAGGCGGCCUUCUAAGUCAGACGUGAAAUCCCCCGGCUUAACCUGGGAACUGCGUCUGAUACUGGGAGGCUAGAGUAUGGGAGAGGGAUGUAGAAUUCCAGGUGUAGCGGUGAAAUGCGUAGAUAUCUGGAGGAAUACCGGUGGCGAAGGCGGCAUCCUGGACCAUUACUGACGCUGAGGCGCGAAGGCCAGGGGAGCAAACGGG